UGGCAUUGUGGUCCAGACACAAUAAUUCUUUGAAGCAGCGCCGUAGUGGAAUGAUGUAAAAAAAAGUGUGAUGUGCCACAAUUUGGAUGAAAUGAUUUCUAGCUGCUAUGAGGAACGAAGCUUAAUCGGUGACUGCACUCUUUUUAACCAAGCUUCAGUCUAAGGUAAAUGAUACCACAUAUUAUGACUCCUCUUUUUAAUCUUCUAUUUCUCAUGCUGAAGUGUUGCUAUUAAUACUUGUAUGUUAAUUUAGCUAUUGGAAUCCUUCGUCAUCUUCCUGUUUGGUUAGUAAUUAUUUGGGAGAUAAUCACUUUGGGGUUUCAGGCACCUUGGUAUGCACAUGGCAAUGCAGAGCCCAAGAAUAUGAUUCUGGACAGUAACCUGUAGUUUCAUCAACCAUACUUCUGGUCAUACUACUGUACCUACAAUCACUCUCAUUCAAAUUUUUUUAGAGGAACUGCAUUUCACCGAUCUGGACAUUCAGUUAAGGAAUUUGAAAGGUUCAGGUCAUACAUGAUUGAUAUGUGCAUUUAAUUGCAAGGUCAAAACUUUUACUGAGAUGCUUCUUUGCCCCAUUACAAGUUAUGAAUGACACACUUAUUUUCAAGUUUGACGUCUAAUUGCUCCCUUCUUCUUGAUGCAUAAUUUUCAGCAAUCAAGGUUGGUCGCUACCUUACCCUGUCCUCGCAUAGUUAAUAGAAAUCCAAUUUAAGGUUUUAUAAUUAAAUACAACGCCAAGAAGUACUACCGCGGGCAUCAUGUGUGCUUGAAACAAAUCUUCUCUUUUUCUAAAAGAGUGGUAUCAGUUUGUUCGGAAUUAGAAUAUUCCUCUUUUUGAAACACUCACAUGUCUUUUGAUUAUUCUAACCUGGGACUAAGUACAGUUGGAUGCAAGCUUGAUAUGUAAGUACGUCUUAGUUUAAUUAUUAGUCCUUGACCAUGAGCAAGAAUCUAGCUAGAUGGGCUUUCAUGUUACACAUAUAUGCUUGUUACUGUUUUGCGAGCUAAUAUCUAUUAAUUAAUUAGUUAGAUGCUUGAAUUAACCUGUACUAACUAUUAUUGGUUAUCACCGUCCACCGUCUUCGUUUGGUUGUAAGUUGUUGACCAUUAGCAAGAAGCUAGCUAAUUGUGUGUGCAUGCCACACACGUGCACAUAUAUCAGUUGUUGCGAGUUAAGAUCAUCUGCCAACUACCUUUAUAUGUAAUUGUGUGCUGCAUUCUCACUGCUUCCAGUAGAUACUAUCAUUUCAGAGUUCACCUAAAAUUUGCAAUGUUCAAAUUUUUGGGAUCAAAAUACAACUUUUUUUAAAUUUAAGCCAAUAUAAAGUGUGUGCAGGUUGAAUUUUAAACUAUUUUUGCUUACAAGAAGCUUAUCAGUUGUAAUGUUUAGCACCUACAUAACCUGAUGGUCUUGUAGUGACUUGGGAUUGGCGAUUAAAGAAACAUGGGUAUCGAGCAUAUUAAUGUGAGAAGUAGAUAUACAAUAUGUUAUAAAGGAGAAGACAAGUAAAUAUUGAGUGUGAAAGAUAAGUAUGAUUUUUUUACUAUCAUAUGAAUUAUUGAAUUUAAUCUGGUAUUCAACCCCUCAAAAUUAGAUUUAAUACAUGCUACUACACCAUUACUUAUCUCUACUAUUAAAG
rnacentral:lncRNA from 1 species